rnacentral:rRNA from 1 species
UAAUACGGAGGGUGCAAGCGUUAUCCGGAUUCACUGGGUUUAAAGGGUGCGUAGGCGGGUUGGUAAGUCAGUGGUGAAAUCCCCGAGCUUAACUUGGGAACUGCCAUUGAUACUAUCAGUCUUGAAUACCGUGGAGGUCGACGGAAUAUGUCAUGUAGCGGUGAAAUGCUUAGAUAUGACAUAGAACACCAAUUGCGAAGGCAGUUGGCUACACGAGUAUUGACGCUGAGGCACGAAAGCGUGGGGAUCAAACAGGAUUAGAUACCCUGGUAGUCCACGCCCUAAACUAUGGAUACUCGACAUAUGCGAUACACUGUAUGUGUCUGAGCGAAAGCAUUAAGUAUCCCACCUGGGAAGUACGAUCGCAAGAUUG